CGUACCCAUCCCGAACACGGAAGUUAAGCCCGCCAGCGUUCCGGUGAGUACUGGAGUGCGCGAGCCUCUGGGAAACUCGGUUCGCCGCCUGCC
rnacentral:rRNA from 1 species